rnacentral:rRNA from 1 species
GACGUAGGGCGCGAGCGUUGUCCGGAUUAUUGGCGUAAAGAGCUACGUAGGCGGCUUGUUGCGUCGACUGUGAAAACCUGCGGCUCCGAACCGUGUGGUCGUGCAGCUUCGAUACGGCAUGACUGGAGUUCGGCAGGGAGACUGGAAUUCCUGGUGGUAGCGGUGAAAUGCGCAGAGUAUCAGGAGGAACAUCCGGUGGCGAAGGCGGGUCGCUGGGCCGAUACUGACGCUGAGGAGCGAAAGCGUGGGGAG